rnacentral:rRNA from 1 species
AACGAACGCUGGCGGCAUGCUUAACACAUGCAAGUCGAACGAGAAGCUGGACUUCGGUCCGGUGGAAAGUGGCGCACGGGUGAGUAACACGUGGGAAUCUGCCCUGGAGUGAGGAACAACCGUUGGAAACGACGGCUAAUACCGCAUACGCCCUAUGGGGGAAAGGCUUCGGCCGCUCUAGGAUGAGCCCGCGUCUGAUUAGCUUGUUGGUGAGGUAAUGGCUCACCGAGGCUCCGAUCAGUAGCUGGUCUGAGAGGACGAUCAGCCACACUGGGACUGAGACACGGCCCAG